CAGAAUAAAGUAAAAAUAAAUCAAAAAAUUAAAAUACAACCAAGAAGAGCCUGAUUCAGACUUCAUGUCUAAAAUAUGAGGUAAAUCAACUCCAUGAGAUCAUGAUCCAAAGCCUUUCUCGCAUUUGAGUGUUUCAAAGUUCCCUAAGAGUCUCAAAUGAACUUCGGACAAUGCUCACACCCAAAUGUGUUAUCAGAUUGGGACAAGUGUAAUGUGGAAAGGCCAUCCCUCAAGUUCCCAAGUUCAUAGAGAACUCAAAGGGUCUCAAGGCAAGGCUCACAAGAGGGGGCAGAACUUAAGACUAAGAAAGUGUGCAUGUGCAGAAUAUGAUACUAAUAAGGGAAAAGGAGAGGGAACUAGUUUCAAAUAAGCACAAAUAAGGAGGUUCA
rnacentral:lncRNA from 1 species